GACGAACGCUGGCGGCGUGCUUAACACAUGCAGGUCGAACGGAAAGGCCCUGCUUUUGUGGGGUGCUCGAGUGGCGAACGGGUGAGUAACACGUGAGUAACCUGCCCUUGACUUUGGGAUAACUUCAGGAAACUGGGGCUAAUACCGGAUAGGAGCUCCUGCUGCAUGGUGGGGGUUGGAAAGUUUCGGCGGUUGGGGAUGGACUCGCGGCGUAUCAGCUAGUUGGUGGGGUAGUGGCUUACCAAGGCUUUGACGGGUAGCCGGCCUGAGAGGGUGACCGGCCACACUGGGAGUGAGAGACGGCCCAGACGGCUACGGGAGGCAGCAGUAGGGAAUCUUAGGCAAUGGCGGGGAUGCUGAGCGCGCGACGCCGCGUGAGUGAAGAAUGUUUUCGUGUCGUAAAACGCUGUUGUUAGAGAAGAACAAGGAUGCGAGUGGAAAGUUAAUGCAUUGACGGUAUCUAAUAAGAAAGCCACGGCGAACUACGUG
rnacentral:rRNA from 1 species